GUCCACGCCGUAACGAUGGAUACUAGCUGUUGGAAGCAAUUUCAGUGGCUAAGCGAAGUGAUAAGUAUCCCACCUGGGAGUACGUUCGCAAGAAUGAACUCAAAGGAAUUGACGGGCCCGCACAAGCGGUGGAGCAUGUGGUUAAUUCGAUGAUACGCGAGGAACCUUACCAAGGCUUAAAUGUAGAUUGACCGGUUUGGAAACAGAUCUUUCGCAAGACAAUUUACAAGGUGCUGCAUGGUUGUCGU
rnacentral:rRNA from 1 species